GGGCAACGACGAUGGGGGUUGAAGUCGAACGCUUGCAUGGGAUAGAUUCCAAGAUUAUUCAGUUGAAGGAGUCAACGAUGGAAUUUUGGACUCCGAAGAGAAUAAGCCUGGUAUUGUUUCUUCUUUCUUUUUGAUUGAGCAUCUCUUUCUUUUCUUCUAAUUUUGCUUCUUUCUUUUUAUUGUCGAAUGUUUCAAAAUUUCAACUCACAUGUUCGUGUGCAUUGUUGAGGAGUGUAUUUUGCCAUUACUA